AUUGAACGCUGGCGGCAGGCCUAACACAUGCAAGUCGAGCGGAUGAAGGGAGCUUGCUCCUGGAUUCAGCGGCGGACGGGUGAGUAAUGCCUAGGAAUCUGCCUGGUAGUGGGGGAUAACGUCCGGAAACGGGCGCUAAUACCGCAUACGUCCUGAGGGAGCAAGUGGGGGAUCUUCGGACCUCACGCUAUCAGAUGAGCCUAGGUCGGAUUAGCUAGUUGGUGGGGUAAAGGCCUACCAAGGCGACGAUCCGUAACUGGUCUGAGAGGAUGAUCAGUCACACUGUAAGUGAGACACGGCCCAGACUCCUACGGGAGGAAGCAGUGGGGAAUAUUGGACGAGGGGCGAAAGCGUGAUCCAGCAAUGCCGCGUGUGUGAAGAAGGUCUUCGGAUUGUAAAGCACUUUAAGUUGGGAGGAAGGGCAGUAAGUUAAUACCUUGCUGUUUUGACGUUACCAACAGAAUAAGCACCGGCUAACUUCGUG
rnacentral:rRNA from 1 species